rnacentral:rRNA from 1 species
UAUAUAUAGUAUUUAUUAGGGAAUUAUUUAUUUUUGUGAUAGUUUAUUAGUACUGUGAAGGAAUAAAUGAAAUAUUUUGAAAAUAAAAUUUUGGCUAAGUAUAUUUAAUUUAUAGUACCUUUUGUAUCAGGGUUUAUUAAAAAAAUUAAUUUAUAUUUAUCUCGAUUUCAAAAGAGCUAAGAGUAUAUAUUAGUUAAUGUUGAAUAAUUAUUAAAAAUAGGUUUUAGUAGAGAAAUUUUAUUCGUUUUUAAAGGUAUCUGGUUUUUUAAGAAAUAAAUUGAAUUUAAUUUCAUUACUUAUAUUUAACCUAUGUUAUAUAUUAUUUAUUGAAUUAAAAAUUAUAGGGGACAAGCUCUAUAUUAAACUAUAAUUAUUAAUGGAAUUAAUUUCUGUAGGUUUAAAAAUAUCCAUCAUUGAUGAUUUUGUUAUAAUUUAUAUUAAUUUAUUAAUUAAUUUUUUUAAAAAAAUUUAGAAUUUUAUUAAAAUAUUACUAUUAAUUACAUUUUAUAAUUAAUAAUGGUUAAAUUAGUAUAAUAAUGUGUUUAAAUAUAUAUUUAUAUAUAAUAAUAAGGUAAGGAAUUCGGCAAAUAUAAUUCCCGCCUGUUUAACAAAAACAUGUCCUUUUGAAUUUAAUUUAAGGUCUGACCUGCCCGGUGAAUUUUUAACGGCCGCGGUAUUUUGACCGUGCAAAGGUAGCAUAAUCAUUAGUCUUUUAAUAGAGGGCUUGUAUGAAAGGUUUGACGAGGAAUUAACUGUCUCACUUUAUUUGUUUUAGAAUUUGAUUUUUUAGUAAAAAAGCUAAAAUUUUAUUGGAAGACGAGAAGACCCUAUAGAUCUUUAUAUAAUGUUAAAUUAAACCCUUAUAUAAUUAGUUUAACUUAAUAUGAUAUUUUGUUGGGGUGACAAAAAUAUAAAUUUAACUUUUUUAUUUAUAAUACAUUGAUAUAUGAAUAUUAGAUCCAAUAUUAUUGAUUAUUAGAAUAAGUUACCUUAGGGAUAACAGCGUAAUCUUCCUCCAGAGUUCAUAUUUACAGGAUGGGCUUGCGACCUCGAUGUUGGAUUAAGAUAAUAAUUGGGUGUAGCCGCUUAAUUGAUAGGUCUGUUCGACCUUUAAAUUCUUACAU